GCUCAACCGGGGAGGGUCAUUGGAAACUGGGGAACUUGAGUGCAGAAGAGGAGAGUGGAAUUCCACGUGUAGCGGUGAAAUGCGUAGAGAUGUGGAGGAACACCAGUGGCGAAGGCGACUCUCUGGUCUGUAACUGACGCUGAGGCGCGAAAGCGUGGGGAGCGAACAGGAUUAGAUACCCUGGUAGUCCACGCCGUAAACGAUGAGUGCUAAGUGUUAGAGGGUUUCCGCCCUUUAGUGCUGCAGCAAACGCAUUAAGCACUCCGCCUGGGGAGUACGGUCGCAAGACUGAAACUCAAAGGAAUUGACGGGGGCCCGCACAAGCGGUGGAGCAUGUGGUUUAAUUCGAAGCAACGCGAAGAACCUUACCAGGUCUUGACAUCCUCUGACAACCCUAGAGAUAGGGCUUCCCCUUCGGGGGCAGAGUGACAGGUGGUGCAUGGUUGUCGUCAGCUCGUGUCGUGAGAUGUUGGGUUAAGUCCCGCAACGAGCGCAACCCUUGAUCUUAGUUGCCAGCAUUCAGUUGGGCACUCUAAGGUGGCUGCCGGUGACAAACCGGAGGAAGGUGGGGAUGACGUCAAAUCAUCAUGCCCCUUAUGACCUGUGCUACACACGUGCUACAAUGGGCAGAACAAAG
rnacentral:rRNA from 1 species